AUGCCAACUCAGCCUGCACCGCCUCCUAUAGUUGAGAGUGUCACAUCAGAGGUUGGAAGCACAAGCCAGCCUAAUGUGCCACAUGUUGACCAACAACAAGAACUUCAAAAUCCUUCCACCGAUCCAUUUGAUAAUGAGGAGGAGUAUGUUGGAGUUUAUGAUGAACAUCUAGUAGGUGUUAGCAUUCCUGAACCUGCCAUAGUGCAAGCAACGGCUACAACACCUGACGAGAAAGCUGAAGAUGAGGAGGCCAAAGAUGAUAUGGAUAUCUCUGAUGUUAAGCAUCUUAUCCAGCAAGAGGAAGAGGUUACUGCCAUGCCUAUUCAGUACAAUGUGGCAACUGAUCCUUAUAAUGCUGACAUUAAAGUGGGGGCUCUUUUUCCUAACAUUGUAACCUUUAGAAAAGCAAUAAGACAUCAUGCUAUGGUAAAAGACUUUGAGCUAGCUAAAGUAAGGACUGAUUCUACUAGAUUCAUGGCUAAUUGCUGA
rnacentral:rRNA from 1 species